rnacentral:rRNA from 1 species
UACAGAGGGGGCAAGCGUUGUUCGGAAUUACUGGGCGUAAAGGGCGCGUAGGCGGCCUGUUAAGUCGAACGUGAAAUCCCCGAGCUCAACUCGGGAACUGCGUCCGAUACUGGCGGGCUUGAAUCCGGGAGAGGGAUGCGGAAUUCCAGGUGUAGCGGUGAAAUGCGUAGAGAUCGGGAAGAACAUCGGUGGCGAAAGCGCUCUACUGGACCGCAACUGACACUCAGGGACGAAAGCUAGGGGAGCGAAUGGG